UACGUUACAGAGGGUGACCUUGUUGAUGC
rnacentral:sRNA from 1 species